rnacentral:tRNA from 2 species
GCCGAAGUGGUGGAAUGGCAGACACGGAGCACUCAAAAUGCUCUGCUCGAAAGGGCGUGCGGGUUCAAGUCCCGCCUUCGGCACCA